rnacentral:sRNA from 2 species
AACUGAUGCACAUGGCGGUCUCCUCCCAGUGCCGCCGCAACAGCUGUUCCCCUCUGGAGGUUUUUGACCUUCACACUUCAUGGGCCUCGGUUCUUCCGACGGCCCAUUUUU